AAAAACUUUUACACAAUCGUAUAGAAAGAAAAAAAGAAAAAACUGAACCAAUUUAAAGUUUUACGAAAAUGUAGAACCCUUGGCUACUAUACGUAUCAUCUUCAUAAUUUUUUACCGACAAUUUUUUUCUUUAAAAAGAAAAAUCCACGAUCUAGAGUUCUUUGUUUUCCAUGAUCCUCAAAUAAGCUUCCCACUUUCAUCACUUUCAUCAACUCAUUUUUUUCAAAUCACCAUAUAUAUCACAAUUCUCUUCUCAGUUUCACCAAACCACCACCACUAAAUCUGCAAAAACUGAAGCUACUUUUACCAACAUGACAAUUUUCAAUCACAUCUCGGAACCGUUCUUUUUGCUUGACCGCUGAGCCCGAACAUUAAAAAAUCCCAUUCCAUCCUCACCGCCCUUGAAGCUUCCCACCAUUUUCAUUGUCUUCUUUCUUUAUUCAGAAGGUACGAUUGUGGUUGUUUGCUACAUGAAGCUUGAUUUCACGUGGUGCAUAUGCUACAAAUACAUUUGAAGUUCUUCUUUGUUUUGGCGUUAUUGAUGAUUCGGGAGUUUGUGUGAGUAAACAGUUUUAUGUAUAGGUAGCAGUAGCACCACAACUUUGAAAGAAAGAGAGGAAGCACCAGAGAAAAUGGAGAGAAAUGUGAAGAUGAAUAAUAUAUAUUAUUUGAUCACAAAACAUCAUAGUGUAAGUAACAUUUAUAUUUUUGUUAUUCAUAUACUUACACCAAAAAUAAACAAUUAAACAAACUGUUUUUACUUUUUAGUUUUUACUAACAUUUUUAAUGAGUCAACCAACAAAUUAUAUUGUAAAGUACUUAAGGAUAUAUUUACUAUAUUACAGAUU